UGGGGAAUAUUGCGCAAUGGGCGAAAGCCUGAUGGAGCGACGCCGCGUGGAGGAUGAAGGCCUUCGGGUUGUAAACUCCUGUCAUGAGGGAACAAGAAAGUGAUAGUACCUCAAGAGGAAGAGACGGCUAACUCUGUGCCAGCAGCCGCGGUAAUACAGAGGUCUCAAGCGUUGUUCGGAUUUACUGGGCGUAAAGGGUGCGUAGGCGGUGGCGUAAGUCGAGUGUGAAAUCUUCCGGCCUAACCGGAAAACUGCACUCGAUACUGCGUCACUAGAGGACUGUAGAGGAGACUGGAAUUCACGGUGUAGCAGUGAAAUGCGUAGAUAUCGUGAGGAAGACCGGUGGCGAAAGCGAGUCUCUGGGCAGUUCCUGACGCUGAGGCACGAAGGCUAGGGGAGCAAACGGGAUUAGAUACCCUAGUAGUCCCUGAGCGGGCUGGCAAGGCGCAU
rnacentral:rRNA from 1 species